AAGAAUAGUAGUUUAAUUAGAAUACUGCAUUGUGGUUGCAGAGGUGUAUUUAAAUACCUUUCUUC
rnacentral:tRNA from 1 species